rnacentral:lncRNA from 1 species
CGAUAUAAGAUUUUCUGGUUGCACCAUAUUAAAUUGUCUUAUCAAUAUCUCCAUUGAGAAACUUUGUCCUUAACUUCCGUAUGAUGCAACUCAAAAUCAAAGUGUACCAUUAAAGUCAUUAUAGUCUUGAAAGAGUUUUUUGAUGAAACUAGAGAAAAAUCUCUUUAUAAUCGAUGUCUUCUUUCUGUGUAAAACCCUUAGCGAUAAAAGGGAUGGUGGGCGGCGUAGUGUGCGCAUGCAAGGUAAGUGCUUUGCAGGUGGUUCUGAGGACUAGAUGCUCGAUCUGCGAGACUCGUAGGAUUUUGGGCGUGAGGGGGAAAAAGGGGAGUGAGGCUAAAGGCCUCUAAGCACGACAGGAGUAGGUGAUGCUACAUAGGUGAGUGGAGGUAGGUUUAGUGGUGCAUGUUGGUGCUGCGGGCAUCAGGGAUGUCAGAUUUGUAAGAUCCGUGGGCUUCUGACACGUGGGUGUUUAGAGGUAGCUAGCCGCAUUAAGAUGCGUGACUUGGUCGCCAGUGGUAUGUGUGUGUGUGUGUGUGAUAGUGGAGGAAAACCAGAGGCCGCAAAUUGCAUCUCUUUUUGCUACCACAUAAGAUACAAAUACCAACUCCACUUCUAUACGGUUAACUGAAUGGGUUUCUUCAGAGGACUCGAAUCUCCAUUAAUGGUAAACACUAAUGAUGUGAGCAUGGAUAUGGAUUAAGUUGGCGGAAAGGAUAUUUCAAUACCAAGUGGGCCCAUUACAAGGGGGAGAGCUAAAAGAUUAUAACAAAUCUUCCAGGUUUUUAUCCAAGCAUGGAUCCAUUAAAGAAGCCAAAGAAAAUAAGUCAAUAAGGCCAUUCACCUAAGGGUAUAAUAGUACAUACUAUUCACCCCAAGUACAAGAGAGAAAUAAGCAAGAAAAUGAGAAAAUUCUGCAAGACAUAAAAGGAAAAUUCCCAUGGGAUUUUAUUUCCUAAUCAUGUGGGAAAUGUUCACAAUUAAAGAUCAACCAAGAGGAAAAAUUGCUUCUAAAUUGCAAGCUAUCUUAUGAAAGAGGAAAACUUCUUAAAUACCAAAUCUCGCAAAAAAAAGAAAAUGCGUGAGAAAGAAGAAAAUAUCUUGGCAGAAUUUUUUUCUCUAAAUCAGCCACAAUUAAUUAAGAUAUUCCCUAUUUAAAAAACUUUCCUCAUAGGGAAUCAUAUCUAUCUUAUUUUUAUUAUAAUUUUCUUAAUUUUUACUAGUUUUCUAUUCUAGUUUAGAUUUACUUUCUUAUAUAAUUUCUUCCAUUAAUUAAGAUAUUAUUUUUUUCUUAUUAUUCACAUGGUCUACACUAUAAAU